AGAGAGAGACAUGCGCGCAUAUCAAUAAGCGGAGGAAAAGAAACUAACAAGGAUUCCCCUAGUAACGGCGAGUGAAGCGGGAAGAGCUCAAAUUUGAAAUCUUAAAGGGUUUCCCUUUACGAAUUGUAGUUUAAAGAAGUGUUUUCUGUUGAGGUUUUGGUAAAAGUUCUUUGGAAUAGGACAUCAUAGAGGGUGAGAGUCCCGUAUUUGACCUUUACUUUCAACUUUGUGAUACACUUUCAAAGAGUCGGAUUGUUUGGGAAUGCAGUCCAAAAUGGGUGGUAAUUUCAUCUAAAGCUAAAUAUUGGCGAGAGACCGAUAGCGAACAAGUACCGUGAGGGAAAGAUGAAAAGAACUUUGAAAAGAGAGUUAAACAGUACGUGAAAUUGUCAAAAGGGAAGCGUUUGACACCAGGUGUUGUUUUUCUGAAAAUCAAUAAAGAACUGUUUAUGCUAAGUUGUUUAGACUUUAUCAGCUAACUGUUUAGUUUUGAGCUUUUCUUUAAUGCACUUUUCAGUUAACAAGUCAACAUCAAUUUCUUUUGCUGUAAAAAAGCUUGAGGAAGGUGGCUUGAGAUUCGUCUUAAGUGUUUAUAGCCUCUUGCCUAUGCAGUCGGAGAGAUUGAGGUCUGCAGCGUAGAUCCUUCGGGGCUAAAUGCAUUUGUGCUAAGUUAUAGCAUUUUAUAGACAACUUGUUGACUAUGAUUUGUCUUGUAGCUUACUCGCUUAUAGUUAUUUUACCUACGCUUAGGAUGUUGAGCGCAUGUCUCUCUCU
rnacentral:rRNA from 1 species